AUACGGAGGAUGCAAGCGUUAUCCGGAUUUAUUGGGUUUAAAGGGUGCGUAGGCGGAUGAUUAAGCGUGAGGUGAAAUGCCACUGCUCAACAGUGGAACUGCCUCGCGAACUGGUUGUCUUGAAUGCUCCUGCCGUGGGAGGAAUGUGUGGUGUAGCGGUGAAAUGCAUAGAGAUCACACAGAACACCGAUUGCGAAGGCAUCUCACGAAGGGUUGAUUGACGCUGAGGCACGAAAGCGUGGGGAUCAAACAGGAUUAGAUACCCUGGUAGUCCACGCAGUAAACGAUGAUGGCUAACCGCUGGGCUUAUCAGUUCAGUGGCCAAGCGAAAGCGAUAAGCCAUCCACCUGGGGAGUACGACCGCAAGGUUGAAACUCAAAUGAAUUGACGGGG
rnacentral:rRNA from 1 species